UAGCACGGAAAGAACUUGGGAAGCUUAAAGCAUCCAUGGAAGAUUCUGAGUUUGCGCUGAGUCUGGAACCCCACAACCAAGAGCUGAAGAAGCAGUAUAAUGAAUCAAAAGCUUUGUAUGAGAAGGAGAUUAUCAAGAAGGCCUCUACAGUGGUGAAAAA